AGAUAUGUCUCAUAAUUGAGGUGAUUCAAGUGCAGAAGUUUAGAAUCUAAAUGGUAUGGUCCUUUCUGAUUGAACCAUAUAAGAGUUAAAAUUUGUGCAAGGACUUGAGAAGAGUCCGUUAGUGCUUCAAUGUGUAUUGAUUCCGAUGUAAACAUUGAUCUUGAUGGAAUCUUGCUUUUCAGCUUGAGGUAUUAAUUGCAUUUAGUCCCCUUCAAAUUUAUGUUACAAAUGUCUUGCUUAAGGGGGGAUGAUGUGUAGUAGAAUGUUGGAACUGUAUUUCCACCCGAAUAGUAGUAUGC
rnacentral:lncRNA from 1 species